ACUAUUUUGGCAGAAAAGUGUUAUAGGCUUAGGACCUAUUAAUGUAAGAAUUGUCUUACAGAUAGUA
rnacentral:tRNA from 1 species